GGCCCAUUGGUCAAGAGGUCAAGACGUCACCCUCUCACGGUGAAAUCAUGGGUUCAAUUCCCGUAUGGGUCA
rnacentral:tRNA from 1 species